CGCCCUCCCGAGGUCGCGGAGAGGCGCGGGCUCCUGACAGGGUUGCGAGGCGGAUGAGCGCGUCUCAGACCUGCCCUGCUCUGCCGCGACUCCUGUGUGAGCCGGCCACCCGAACCCCCACCCUCGCUCCCCUGCGGUCAGGAGGUGCCGAGCGGCUGCGUGGGCAGAGAGAGCGCCCAGGAGGCCAGCGCUAUCCGCCGCUACCCCGUGGGGGCCGGGGUCGCGGCUCUGCGACCGGACUCCUGAGCGCCUGCAUCGCCCGUGGACAGGAACACCGGAUCGUGUGCGUUAGGACCUGUGGGGUCGCUCAGGCCUCAACCCGCAAACCCGACGGACGCGGGCACAGAGCCUCCAAGGCCAGUGGGAUGUCGAGGGCUCAGGAAGCCCCACCCCUGCCCCCGCCCGGGGGACCGACCCCGAAGAGUCGAACCGUUUAGCCAAAAGAGUACGUUUAACCCGAGCAUUUUACCAAGGCUGUGGGCCAGAUCUGAUCAGAGUUGAGGUAAUCCCUCAAACAUUACAAAUAGGCAGAUAACGUAAACAACGUUGAGACACAGUUCUCCCAAUCAAGACUCAGUACUGGCAAUAGAAAAACAGGAAACCUCCAAGACACGUGAAAACUCUCAUCAGCCAAGUCAGGGACAGCAGCACAGAAGAGGGCCGAUCAUCAGCGUGUGAGCCCAGGGCUUCGGACAGGAAGCACACCACAACACAGAGAGGCAGUCAGACUCCUGCGGGGCUGAAGGAAAAGUUUCCAUGAGCCGCAGAGAGACCCAUCCAUCAGGUUGUAAGGGUUCAUGGAUUAAGGUGUCUCUCUAGCUUAGGUGGGGAAACCUGCAAGGCCAGCCUUAGACCCAGGCAUUUCCCCUCCCGCCUCCUUCUUGUGUGGAAGUCCCUUCGUGGUUGGCAGAAAUGUUCCCGGAGGGAAGGCCAUGGAAGCUGGGGGUUCUUGUCUUCACGCAAGAAAGAAUUCAGGCGUGAGAUGUAGAGCGGAGUAAUAAGGCUUUACUGGGGACAGGGCAUCCGUCAGGAGGGAAGGGACAGCGAGAGAGAGAGAGCCCAGUCGCUCAGACUGGGGGAGAGCAAGGUUACAUGGUUGAGUGCAGAGGAUGAGGCCAGGCAGGUGGCUCAGCAGAGAGGCAGAGGGCUGAGGGUCCAUCCCUUUGGAUUCCCUAGGAUUUUAAGGGGGUCUGUUUACCCACCUCCCCCCUCCUCCAGGACAAAGAAUGGAGAGUCCUGGAGGAAGGGUUUGUUGGGAGAAAAUUAGCAAAUUCCUCCCCAGAUUUGCUGGCACUGGGCUGAGUCGGGGGCUUCCCUUCAGGUGUGUCUGAGGUUUUCUUGCCCCUGUUAUCAGGUAACCCCUUGGUCCUGAGGAGAGAGAAUUCUCCUGGGAGCUUUCCUGGGGAAGGGCUGGGACAACCUGGGAGGUGACCAGGG
rnacentral:lncRNA from 1 species